rnacentral:lncRNA from 1 species
CUCACUGACUUCAAGAAUGAAGCCGUGGACCCUCACGAUUAACUGACCUCUUCCAUGUUCAAACCAUAUGUAAUUGUAAUUGAAUGGAAGUUAAACAUCUGGAAACCGUUAGGAUUGAAUAGCAAUGAAAGGCAGGAAGCACAAGACUAUGGAAAGUGAUUUUGAACAACCAGGGCGACCUGGAAGCAUACUUCUGGUAGCAAUGGGGACACGGGUCAAAGGGGACUUGAGGUUAUCAGCUUUCAGAAUGAAGACACAUAAUCCCUAUUAGAGUGGAAGACUUAAAAUCGAGUUUGAGACCCACCUUCUGAAACUGCAGGCUCUUGGGAGCCUGAUUUCCGGUGAAGAGUGUUGCUGCUUUGCAUUUUUCACACUUGAACACAGUGAAGAAGAUGAACAUUAAUUAGGAUUAUAGUGCCAUGGAGGCUUACUGUGCUGUGAGAACUCACAAGAAAUAAAAUGCCAUUUCUUUUUUUGGAUGCAA